rnacentral:tRNA from 1 species
GCCUGGGUGGCUCAGUGGGUUGAGUGUCUGACUUCGGCUCAGGUCAUGAUCUCACAGUUUGUGGGUUCGAGCCCCGCCUUGGGCU